rnacentral:rRNA from 1 species
UACGUAGGUGGCAAGCGUUAUCCGGAGUUACUGGGCGUAAAGGGCAGGCAGGCGGGUCGGUAAGUCGGAUGUGAAAUCUCCCUGGCUUAACCGGGAGAGUGCAUUUGAGACUGUCAACCUGGAGGGCAGCAGAGGAGCGUGGAAUUCCGGGUGGAGUGGUGAAAUGCGUAGAGAUCCGGAGGAACACCAGAGGCGAAAGCGGCGCUCUGGGCUGCACCUGACGCUGAACUGCGAAAGCCAGGGGAGCGAACGGG